CAUUUAGAGGAAGUAAAAGUCGUAACAAGGUUUCCGUAGGUGAACCUGCGGAAGGAUCAUUAUUGAAAUAAACCUGAUGGGUUGUUUCUGGUUCUCUAGGGAGCAUGUGCACACCUUGUCAUCUUUAUAUCUCCACCUGUGCACUUUUUGUAGACCUUUCAGGUCUAUGUUGCUUCAUUUACCCCAAUGUAUGUUAAUAGAAUGUUGUGCCUAUAUAAUAUAUACAACUUUCAGCAACGGAUCUCUUGGCUCUCGCAUCGAUGAAGAACGCAGCGAAAUGCGAUAAGUAAUGUGAAUUGCAGAAUUCAGUGAAUCAUCGAAUCUUUGAACGCACCUUGCGCUCCUUGGUAUUCCGAGGAGCAUGCCUGUUUGAGUGUCAUUAAUAUAUCAACCUUCUCUUUUUUGAGUUGUUUGGAUGUGGGGGUUUGCUGGCCUCUUAAAUGAUUCAGCUCCCCUGAAAUGCAUUAGCAGAACAACCUGUUCAUUGGCGUGAUAAUUAUCUAUGCUAUUGAAUGUGAGGGCAGUUCAGCUUUCUAACCGUCCUCGGACAAUUCAUCAUUAAUGUGACCUCAAAUCAGGUAGGACUACCCGCUGAACUUAAGCAUAUCAAUAAGCGGAGGA
rnacentral:rRNA from 1 species